CAUAAAGAUGUGAUCCAUCAUUCUUGUCCUUUUGGAAACCCAACGCAAUUUCAGGAGAAAGACUCAGAGCCAAGGAGACAUGCAAAACAGAGACAGGGAGGCCCAAGAGUUUCUCUUGCUUUAGCCAAUUAUGGGCCCCAAGUAAGGACUCGGUGCUUUUCAGCAGAAGUGGUUUCUAAGAACCCGAAGAUGAGGAUGAUGUGCUGAGAGCAAGAGGGCAGCACCUGCUCAGAAUCACAAAACACCAGGGAAUUAACAAACAGCAUUGAAAUCUAGACCUUCCACGCGCCUGACCUUUGCUUCCUCAUUCCACCUGAUACUUUGGACUAAACCACCUGCUUGGGGCCUAAAAUUCAAGGGAUGUCAACAUUUUCUAUAAUCAAGAGACAAGCCUGUGGAGGAAUGAAAGCCACAGCACCAGUGUCGGGCACCAGCGGGUCAUGCCUGAAAUCCUAGCUGUUCAGGAGGUGGGGGUGUGAAGACUGAGGUUCGAAGCCAGCCCAGGCAGAUGAAUUCAUGAGACUUGUAUCCUCAGUUCAUCAGCAAAAAGCCAGAAGUGG